rnacentral:rRNA from 1 species
GAAAGUUAGAGGUUCGAAGGCGAUUAGAUACCGCCCUAGUUCUAACCAUAAACGAUGCCAGCUAGCGAUCUGCCGACGUUUUUUUUGUAGACUCGGCAGGAAGCUUCCGGGAAACCAAAGCAUUUGGGUUCCAGGGGAAGUAUGGUUGCAAAGCUGAAACUUAAAGGAAUUGACGGAAGGGCACCACCAGGAGUGGAGCCUGUGGCUUAAUUUGACUCAACACGGGAAAUCUCACCAGGCCCGGACACUGGAAGGAUUGACAGAUUGAUAGCUCUUUCUUGAUUCGGUGGGGGGGGGUGCAUGGCCGUUCUUAGUUGGUGGAGUGAUUUGUCUGGUUAAUUCCGAUAACGAACGAGACUCUGUCCUGCUAAAUAGUGUCCGCCUCUCUUUUGGGCGGACAAUUCUUCUUAGAGGGACUGGCGACUCUUAGUCGCACGAGAUUGAGCAAUAACAGGUCUGUGAUGCCCUUAGAUGUUCUGGGCCGCACACGCGCUACACUGAAUAGAUCAACGUGUUCCCCCUUUCCGAGAGGAACGGGUAAACCGCUGAACCCUAUUCGUGGUAGGGAUCGGGGCUUGCAAUUGUUCCCCGUAAACCAGGAAUUCCUAGUAGGCGCAAGUCAUAAGCUUGCGUCGAUUACGUCCCUGCCCUUUGUACACACCGCCCGUCGCUACUACCGAUUGAACGUUUUAGUGAGGUCCUCGGACUGUUUGGUAGGCGGAUCACUCUGCCUGCCUGGCGGGAAGACGACCA